CUGUCGCUGAUUACAACACGGAAGCAGAUUAUUAAAACUGUCAAGUGACAAGAAAUCUUAUAUAUCAAUGGGUGGUAUUAAAAGUGAACCUUGACAGCAGUAUAAAAAAAUAUGUUCAUUGAAAGGAAUACACACAAUUUCUUUCCUGUGUUCAUAACAUAGACGUAGGAGAACUCAAUGGCCAAUCCAAGAGCUGCUGAGGUAGUCUGUGUCUAAUAAGGCCCAGGCAUGCUCAAGCUCCUUGUAGCCUCCUUGUUUCUCCAUGUGGCUCUCCGUGGUGGCUGGGAAGCAUUACACAGUGGCUUCCUCUCCCUGCCCUUCAAUUCCCGCCUUUGCAGGACCUGACCAGCAGUCCUUUCCUUGUGUUGAGAAACUGUGAGGCUUGCUUGAUGUGUCUAGAGCCCUACAGCAUACUUGGACACAAGACAGCAUCACCAAGGAUCUCCUUGAUGAAAGGUACCAUGUUGAGUGAGCUUCACCUUUGGGGGACAAGAAUCCUUAACCUCCUUUGGAUGUUCUUACAACUUAGGUAUUUGUUCAUUUUGUGCCUCAGUUUUGUCAUCUGAAAUAAUGAACCAAAGGUCAUCAUUACUUGAAAGGCCUUCAUAAAGAUAACUGGGUGCAAAAAUGCAAAAUAUGUAUGCACUCCUUCAAAAGACUUACUAACUCCGGUGGAGCCAAAGGAUUUGUCCUCAAGGUGGGAAUUCAGAACCAUAGCUGAGAUUUGGCAAAUAAAAGUGCAUGUCAUAAGAACCAGGAGGGAGCUUUUACUCAUAAAUUUUUACACAGAGACCUCAGGUGGCUGCAAAUUUCUAAAUGUCAAGUUCUAAUGGCUAUGUUGGCUUUCAUUUCUUAUACUCAAAAUAAUCAACUCUCCACACUAAUAUUUUCAAAGGGAAUUCUGAAAGUGAAAUGAAUAGACUAACAACUUCGAAAUUAAGAACUAGGGUAGCCGUUUAGUGUUCUGAUAUUUAUGAAAAGAAUAGCUCUGUUUGCUUAGCUGGCAAAGCUCAUGUUUCUAGAAGUUUUCAAUUUUGGUCUUGUUUUGUUUUAUGAAAAGUUAUUUUUUUUCAAAAUGAAAACACUUUAAUAAGGAUUAU
rnacentral:lncRNA from 1 species